CCCCGCCUGCGCGCUGCCGGCCCCGCGCCGAGUUCCCGUGGCCUGGGCCUGGACCUCGAGGCGUUUGUUGGGUGUCCUGCCGGGCGCCCAGGCCUCGGCGCCGCAGAGCGCGGGCUUGAUGUGGGUGCGGCUCGGGAGACGCCUGGCCUUCCAAGGAGGCCGGAGGAGGGGAGUAGCCAACUGAGUUGCACCAUUCAACAUCCCUACUUGCAGGCCCUUGCAAUUUUGUUUCGAAAAAGAAAGUUAAUUACCUGAUGGCAACAUUUCUGCAAGACAGAAUGAGUCAGACAAGCCCUGUUCGGGUUCUUCCCAUUGUGCCAGAGCCAACUGGUGUCUCUUCUCCUGAGAAACCGGGAUGAGCAUUAUAGCCCAACAAGGAGGGAGACCUCAUCACAUCUUUGAGUUUUUUAACCAGCCGGUUUUCAUCCAUUAGCGUAGAAAACACACAGUGCGUGCGGUAUUGAAUAGGACCCAGCUCGCGGGUGCUCCUUCCCGAAGCUCAGGAGAGCGACAAUCCCACUCCAAUAAGAUCCAGUGAUCCAGUAAAUUUACCCACAGUUCCUGCCUUGGCAUUUCCGGGUCUCCUUUGCUGUUUCCUCAGUAUUGACUUCAUCCUCUUGAUUUCAUUGAAUCCAGACAGCCUUGCGUUGCUUUAUUUCUCAACUUGCCUCUAGGUACUGUCAUUUCUAAUAUUACACCUUGACCAGAAUGAUUUCAACACGUGUCAGUUUGCAGCCCGGAAUGUGCACAGGAUGGUUGGAACUUGGGCAGCUGCCCUGGACCAUGAAGCAGUCUUGAGCGCCGGGAGCCAAUUAGCGUGGUGUAGUGAAAGCAUCUUCCCUCAGCCCAGAGCCAAACAUCACAGGAAGACAGCCUGAGGGGUGUGUGUGCGAUGCAGGCUGAGUCACGGGGGCCACACAAGCUGUCAUGUGUGCUGGGAGGGCCCAUGGAAUAACAGAAACCACUGUGCUGGGGGGAAUCCCACGUUCUGGAGAAGAUGAAGGCCAGACCUGUCAUUAACCAAGGCCCAGUUCCUGACGGCACAAAAACCGUGAACGCAAGAUGAGAAAACCUUCGUAACAAAAUGAGAACCGUCUCCAGUGCAGGGACGGUAAAAAGCCUGCUCCUCCAUCGCUCAUCUUACCCCAGACGGAUGAGCAUUUCGGGGCAGUGCGCAGAAGGGGACAAAGUCGGGAACCCUACAGCCCCUCGUUUCCUUUGCCAUCUUGCUGAUCUGGAAGGGAUGGAUGGGUAGCCAGAGGGAGGGGUGAAAAGAGCAGGGUGGAGGGAGGGGCUUGCCAGGUCCAAAAUUUUAAAAUCCUGCCGAGAAGGGAUCAGACUUCAGGAAUCUGGAGGCAUUUCCACAUUUCUGCGUUGGGGUGAAAAGCUGGUGGACCCUUUGUAUUUUUUGAAUUUUGUGCCAUGUACAUGCCUUCAUUAUCCAAGGCAAAUUAAAAGAAAAUAAAGACACAGACGAAUUCUCAAGGAUAUAAGGCACUCCUUUCUGCACAGAAGAAUGGGUACUCUGCUUUAAAUUUUGACCUGUCAAAAUGGUUUUGCCUGAGUAAAGGAAUGAGGUUUUUUUCAGAAAUUGCCUUUUUGAUUUUGAGAAAUAUUGGUCCAUUUACAAACAAGCUCUGAAAUUUCUUCUAACAGUAAAAGAAACGAGGUAUUUCAUUUUGAGAUAACAGUCUCUCAAUUCCUCAGCAUCUGGAAAUUUCUGUUAUAAGACGUCAUCCAUCUUGCUAUUUUCAGGUUUACUUACUAUUCAAAUCUUUUUGGGGGGGGGAGUCUAGUGAGAAAAACAAGGAGAACCAAAGUAGUUAAAAAGAACAAAGAGCAAAGAAAGAAAUCAUCAAAAAUGUGUUAGUUUAAAAAUGAUGGUACACACUACAAUGUGAUUCUGUCAUUAAAAAGAAUCUAUGUAACUGUACACAAAGAUAAACUCGAAAUGGAUAAAAGACCUCAACGUGAGACAGGAAUCCAUCAGAAUCAUAGAGGAGAACAUACGCA